rnacentral:lncRNA from 1 species
CCACAUCAAAAUAUAAUUUUAGUUACGGAAGUUAUGGUUAGUAUAUCAAAGUUUUAGCCAUUAUAACUUUAGUAUUAAUUAUGUGAACAUUCAAGCACUACACUAGUAGUAAUUUGGGCAGUCGAGGAUGAUUUGUAAGGGUAAUUUUGCCAGCCACCCAAUGCCCCCCGUUGCUGCAAAUUGCAUUUAUUUGGACCGUUGAUGACCCC